AGCGCAGGCGGACCGGCAAGUUGGAAGUGAAAACUAUGGGCUCAACCCAUAAAUUGCUUUCAAAACUGCUGGCCUUGAGUAGUGCAGAGGUAGGUGGAAUUCCCGGUGUAGCGGUGGAAUGCGUAGAUAUCGGGAGGAACACCAGUGGCGAAGGCGGUCUACUGGGCACCAACUGACGCUGAGGCUCGAAAGCAUGGGUAACAAACA
rnacentral:rRNA from 1 species